UACGUAGGGUGCAAGCGUUAAUCGGAAUUACUGGGCGUAAAGCGUGCGCAGGCGGUUAUAUAAGACAGUUUGUGAAAUCCCCGGGCUCAACCUGGGAACUGCAUCUGUGACUGUAUAGCUAGAGUACGGUAGAGGGGGAUGGAAUUCCGCGUGUAGCAGUGAAAUGCGUAGAUAUGCGGAGGAACACCGAUGGCGAAGGCAAUCCCCUGGACCUGUACUGACGCUCAUGCACGAAAGCGUGGGGAGCAAACGAGGAUU
rnacentral:rRNA from 1 species